GAGCUAGCUGCGGGGACGGCCCGGAUGGCGGGCGCGCGGGCGGGCGGGCGCCCCCCCGCGCUCUGCUGCGCUCCGUGCGCCCGCCUGCGCGAGGUGUUCGAGGUGUGCGGCCGCGGACCCGACGGCUUCCUGCGCGUGGAGCGCGUCGCGGCGCUGGGGCUGCGCUUCGGCCAGGGCGAGGAGCGCCCGUGCUGCGAGCGUCACGCGUCACACCCCGGGUGGCCUCUCUGCCCACCUUCCCACCCCCAGCCGUGCGGGUCCUUCGGACUGCUCUGCAACCCAUUCGGUGUUUUCGGAGGAAGGAGCUGGCAGACCCUGCCUUCGGGACACCAGCCCCUUCCCACCCGGCGGAGAGCAACGCAGAGGUCCGUGUGCGGGAAUUCCAGGACGCGGUAGGGAGGCACGCGCCCCACAGGGCCUGGCCAACGAGGAGAGGACAACUAGGGGCGCCCCGCCGCCUCGGCUCCUUGGCUACAUCCAGCCGGCCUAGGACACAGCGGGAGGUGUCUGCUUGAGGCCUUCCUGGAUUCUCCACCCAGCGCCCUGUGACCCCCAUGCGGGCUCCGAUGGGUAGGCCUGGCUGACAGCUGGCUGUGGUGGCUGCAGCAGGCCCGCCAGGAAUCGCAGCUGAGCGGUUUCCAGCGGUGGGCCCGCUUCUAUUUGGGGGAAGCAGGAGCUAUGCUGAUUGUUAGCAAGGCUGAAAUCGGAGGGUGGGUGCUGCCAGGGGGUGGGCAGAAGAAUAUCAACAAAUGUACUCGAGAUCGGUGUCCUCUCAUGCCACGGACACGGGCUGAUGGCUGUUUCUCAGGGGGAGAGGGGAGAGCAAGGACCUACCUGGCAGGGGAGCAUCCCCGCCCUCCCAUUACUGCCCACUCUCAAGUGGUCAGGGCAGGAAGCCCUGAGUAGUGAGUUUCCAAGGCCACCUGAGGCCUCAAGCUCUGCAUGGGCACCGGCUGGCAUUCUGUUCCGGGGACAGCUGGGGCCUAGCAUUCCAGAACGUGGGAGAAAUCAGGGCAUGGCUGGGUUGUAUCCAUGCCUCCCUUUCACCUGGCAAGGGGGAGAUGAUAGAUAAUCAUCUCUCCAUGGCCCCUGGGCAUGACCCCCAUCUGGGAGUCCCUGGGAGCAGUAGGUGAAGGAGGGUGAAGCAAGUGUCAAAUUCAAGAACUCGGGUACUGCAUCCCAGGAGGCUUACUGCUGCAGCCCGGUUGCAGCCCACCCUCCCCCUCUGCUGGGAUCUGCACAGGCGAGAGCCCCAGCUCCUUCCCUUCUGGUCACAGGCUGCAGGGGAGAAGAAGCCUCGGGCUCUGGCUGGAACUGGAGUUCCAGAACCACAGUCUCUGUGGUGGGAAGGGCUUCCCUACAGGGUCUGGCAGGAGGGCAUGGGGCCUCAGUCCUGAGCCCCCAUCAAGUCUCACCAGCUUAUCCCUCAUGCACUCUGUAGCCAGACCUGCUUGUCACUUAGUCAUCGUGGUUCUGCACAAGGACUCAUGUGAGUCUCUGUUCUACGUGGCAGCCUUUCAGUAUUUGAAAACAGCACUCCUGUCCCCUUCCCACCCACUUCCUCCCUUUCUCCCUUCUCCAGGCCAAAUACCCCCUGUUCCUGAAGCCCCAAGCCAUUUCCAUACCAAACCUCCGGCUUCCAGCCCUGAAGCCAUCAACUAAUUGUGUGACAGAGCUUUCCUAGUAAUAACAGGGAAAGCCUGGACCAGGGGACCCCCCAGGACUGUUCCAGCCCCAACACCUCUCACACUCACUGAUGGCUCGGGGUGGAGCUGUCUUUUGAGUGGUGCACUCAUACUAAGUUUUUGGCCAUCAGACUCCCCAGGGAUCUCUCUUAACAACCUCUGCCAUGCCUCGAUUCCCCUCCUUCCUGGAGGAGGGUCAGUGAUUUCUUUCUUUUUUAAAGCAUAAUCUUAUAUCAUUACAAGAAGCAGUUUAUAUGCACUGUGGGAAAUUAGAAAUAUGGACAAGCAAAAACAAAAAUAUUAUGUUCCCAUCUCCCAGGGAGCCUUGCUGCGACACCUUGGUCACAUCCUUCCAGAGCUGCUUCUAUGCUUAUAGGUAGAUUUUCUCCGUAAAAUGAGAUCGUGCUGUGCAUGCUGUUUUGUAGCCUGCUUUUUUUCUGGUAAAUGAUCAGUGCUUUUCUGCUUCAAUAAAUUCUCAUCUCACUUAAUAUGCAUACCUUAUUCAGAUUUCCCUAUUUGGCCCCAAAAUGUCAAUCUUUGCUUUUUGUUUAAACCAAUUUCCUCUCCAAAACUCUGCAAUGCAUCCAGUCGUUAUGGCCCUUUGGUCUCUCUUACUUAACACAAUUCUUUCUUUUUUUCUUUUUUUUUUUUUUUAAUUUUAAUAAUCCUGACUUGUUGAAGAGAUCAGGCCUGUUGUUUGUGUCAGUAAUUUCAUGAAAUCUAAACAUGUUACUUGGACCUUAUUCCUAUUCAAUUUCAUCUUGUUUAUUUCAUCCUAUUGUAACAGAAAAUAGAAUUUACAGUCUUACCUCUGUCACUUUCAGAUACUAUACUGCCUGCAGAUUGGAAAAUUGGGUGCUUUGUGUCUCAAUCUGCAAGGCUGGCUGUAAACCCAGGGCAGGACCACGGACAGGGCCUUGUAGGGGCCAGUUCUGCUCACACCGUUAUUGACUGAGACCCACAGAAAUAUAUUUUGCAUCCCUGCUCACUGCACGCCAGAUUCACAUGGCACUAGAGAAUAUUAUGUCAUUUCCCCACAGGUAGGGACCUCUUCAAAAUGCAUGUUCUCUGACAGUUCCUGUUUCAUUUGUUUAAAAAUCAGGCAGAGACCUUGAUUUCUCAGCCCCUCUAGUGCUCUAGGGUGGAUAACUAUCAUUUGUUAGAUAUGGAGUUCAGAGAAUUUCUCAGAGCUGAAUAUUCACAUUUUAUCAACUAGGCCCAGAAUACCAGAGGUACUAGAAUCAAAUGCUUUGCAAAAAGCAAAAUAUACUGGGUUGCAAAAUAUAAAAUAAAUAUCCAUGAGGCCAUACUGAUAUCAAUAAAUGAUUGAAUAAUGAAUAAAUAAAUAUGAAGAAAGUCUCCCAUGCAGAAGAAAUUAAAAUAAUUUAUGUAGAUAAUAGAUAACUCCCCAUCAAGGAGGUGGAGCAUAACUCCCCGCCCUGUAAAUGUCAGAUAUGCAUAGCAACUGUCUUCUAAAGAGCACAACAUGGAAACAGGGGGAAGGUGCAACUUUGCGGUGAAGAAGCCAGACACACCCUGACUCAGCCAGGUCACCAAGGUCAAAAUAAGCAGUGAUAAGUCAUGCAGGUGGUACGUACCCUUCAUACCAUGUGAUGGGAGUGGCACUUUACUUUGUGAUCUCCCUCCCAAAAUCCAGCACCCCUGUCUAGUCAUGAGAAAACAUCACACAAAUCCCAACCAAGGGGCAUUCUGCAAAACACCUGCUCAGUCUGCCAAGGUCAUCAAAACCAAGGAAAGUCUGAGAAACUGCCCCAGGCAAGCAGACCUAAGGAGACAUGACAACUAAACAUCAUGUGGUGUCCUGGGUGGGAUCCUGGCACAAGAAGAGGACUCUAGGGAAAAACUAAGGAAGUCUGAAUGAAGUAUGGACUUCAGUUAAUAAUAAUUGUAUGUAUUAGCUUGGCCUCUGAUGUUGCCCUGAUUUGUUGACAUAGGAAUCAUAGGAGAAAAGAGAAGAUGAGGAAACUGACAAAAACUUGAGUAAUGUGUGAGACACAAAGCUUGACGUGUUAAGGAACGUAAGGAUGGAGAGGAGCCGGGGCACAGCGCUGUCCCAGCCCCGAAGGUCUGUCAUACUUGUCAAUAGGAGCACAACUCCUGGGACGAAUACAAGAAACGAUGGCCCAGGGCCCUGAACCGUGUUGGCCUCUGAUAUUUUGCUUUUUGCCUCUAACCUCUCUAGGCCUUUGUUUACUCAUCCCUAAAAUGGGGGUGAUGAUAGUCCCCACUCCAUAGGGUUAUUUGGGGCUUGAGUGAGUUAGUACAUGUGAAGUGUCCAGGAUCUGCACAGAGUGGGCGCACUAUGAGAACUGCUGUUGCUCUUAUUACAGGCUUUUUUGUAAACACUUGCCAGCAUCUUUGAGACAUCCUUCUGGGCUAGGGGGUUCCUGGGGGUUGAGGCCAUCUGCAAACAGUCCCCUGUGCUCUCAGCCCACUUUCUGUGUCCAGCUCUGAGCUCUGCAUCUAAGAAUGGAAGAUGUUGAGAGCAGCCAGAGAUAUCUUGGGCCUCAUCCCUGUUAAACAUAUCCUUCUCCCUUUUCCAGUUUGAAAAUCAUCCUCCUUGCUAGAAAAAUGGACACAAAAAUAGUUGAAUGGUGUUUCUGCUGUCUGUUAACUCAGAAUUAUCUCCUCUGAGCAGAGGCAAGUCCUUCCUGCUGGGAAUAGAGUUCUGCUCCCUCAUCCCAAAGGGUGCUGUUAAUUAUUUUGGGAGGGUACCUCAGCUUUAGCUCACCUAGGGACUGCUCUAUUAUUUCCCCUCUUCUUCUCAGGUGCC
rnacentral:lncRNA from 1 species